AAUGAGAGUUUGAUCCUGGCUCAGGACGAACGCUGGCGGCGUGCCUAAUACAUGCAAGUAGAACGCUGAGGUUUGGUGUUUACACUAGACUGAUGAGUUGCGAACGGGUGAGUAACGCGUAGGUAACCUGCCUCAUAGCGGGGGAUAACUAUUGGAAACGAUAGCUAAUACCGCAUAAGAGUAAUUAACACAUGUUGGUUAUUUAAAAGGAGCAAUUGCUUCACUGUGAGAUGGACCUGCGUUGUAUUAGCUAGUUGGUGAGGUAAAGGCUCACCAAGGCGACGAUACAUAGCCGACCUGAGAGGGUGAUCGGCCACACUGGGACUGAGACACGGCCCAGACUC
rnacentral:rRNA from 1 species